rnacentral:lncRNA from 1 species
UGGAUAACUGAAUUUUUUAAAUUGGAACAAAAGCAAAGUUUAUUACAGAAAUUGGGAUUAGGUUUUCACUUAAUCGAAUUAGGGGUUGAGGCUAACUCCCUCUCAUUCUUCCACUUCACCUGCAAGAGACCAAGUCUCUUUCUCUGAACAGAAAAAGGAAAACCUAAAGGGUUUCAUCUUUCUCACGGUGCAUAUCACCACCUCCACCAAAAGUGACUGCCACGCCGGACCACCGCCUAACCUAAAGUGUCGUCAGAGACCCCAAACACUGUCGGAGCCGUCGCUGGCCGUAGCGUCAGAUCUUCUUCUUCCUCUUCCCUCUUCGCGUGCGAGAGGUGAACACAAACCUUCCCCCUUGUGUUUCCGCCACCGUUGUCGACCAUGACUUAGCCUCCACCGUUCAAUGUCGCUGCUAUCCUCGUCGGAGACGCUUGCUCGCCGGCGCCGUCAACGCCACUCCCCUUCCCUCUAUGUUUGAGGGUUCUCUUUCUUUUCCCCCACACUCCAGGCGCCUCCAGCAGUGCCACCGCCUACCUCCAAUAGCUCCACCGCUGACGACGGGAACAAAAACGUUUUUCCUCUUUUCUUCUCUUUUUUUGAAUGCCGCCUGUUGAAGGAUUCCACCACUGAUUGGCGUUGUGUCUGGUGUCAUAGGUCGAAGGAGACAAAUUCUAGCUCUUAGUAUUAAAGUCACUGUGAUGAUGUUGAACUAAUGAUGAAGUCCAUAGUGUUGAUCCGUCAUCCAGGUUCUAAUGUACUGGAUACAACAGAGGAUAGCAUGGCUUGUUCUAAAGAACAAGAUCUGAGCAUAUUGGCAUAGGAUCUGAGAUUCAGUUUAUUUGUUUCAGGUGGAAGGCGGUCUCGAGAUUGAGAGUAAAUGCAGCGUAUGUUGUUGCCCAGAUUGAAGGAGCCUAUGGUUUCUUCCAAUUUCUGUAAUAAAUCCUAAUUCGAUUAAGUAAAAAUCCUAAUUCAUUAAGUGAAAACCUAAUCCC